UACGUAGGGUGCAAGCGUUGUCCGGAAUUAUUGGGCGUAAAGCGCUCGUAGGCGGUCUGUCGCGUCGGCUGUGAAAACCCGGGGCUUAACUCCGUGCCUGCUUCCGAUACGGGCAGACUAGAGGUAUGCAGGGGAGAAUGGAAUUCCUGGUGUAGCGGUGAAAUGCGCAGAUAUCAGGAGGAACACCAAUGGCGAAGGCAGCACUCUGGGACGUGACUGACGCUGAGACGCGAAAGCGUGGGGAGCAAACAGG
rnacentral:rRNA from 1 species